GACGGAGGGUGCAAGCGUUGUUCGGAAUUACUGGGCGUAAAGCGUACGUAGGCGGCGGAUUAAGUCGAAUGUUAAAGCCUGGGGCUCAACCCCAGAGAUGCACUCGAUACUGGUCUGCUAGAGGGUGAUAGAGGAAAGUGGAAUUCCCAGUGUAGCGGUGAAAUGCGUAGAUAUUGGGAGGAACAUCAGUAGCGAAGGCGACUUUCUGGGUCACACCUGACGCUGAGGUACGAAAGCGUGGGGAGCAAACGGG
rnacentral:rRNA from 2 species